GCCAUAGUAGCUCAGCCUGGCAGAGCGAAGGUUUCGUAAACCUUAGGCCGUGGGUUCAAAUCCCACUUAUGGCU
rfam:Candidatus Nitrocosmicus oleophilus strain MY3, complete genome.